rnacentral:misc_RNA from 1 species
ACCUUUCUUUCUCUCUCCGCGUCGAUUGGCGGAGCAGCUAGCAUGGGCCGGAUCAUCAGACAAAUACCCGUCCGGAACGUUGCCUGAAUCGCGGACAUGAUCCGAUAAGGGAGAGUCGGGAUUGGGUGAAGCAGCGGCUGAUGAUGACGAAUGGUAGUGCGCCGACAAGUUACCCAUACUGGCACUCUUCUUGAUAAUGGAGCCAUCGGUGAGCCUCACACCGAAGAGCCUGACUCCGGCGGCAGAAGAGGCCGACGUAGAUGACGCGCCAGAUGAGCGCGUCGGACAGGUACGGGAGUUGUGGCCGUUGUUGCUGCAAUGCGAGCAUCGUCGAGUCAUGGGG